rnacentral:lncRNA from 1 species
GGGACAUCCGGGGGUUUUUCCUGGGUUUUUCCAUAGGCUGGGCCCACCUGGGGAGGGUCUGCAGUGUCUGCCAGGCUCCGGCACAGCUCAUGGAUCACGGAAUCACUUAGCAUGGAAAAGCCCUCGGAGAGCACGGAGCUCCCCCAGCACUGCAGGGACACCCCUGGCCAUGGCCCCGAGUGCCACAUCCCCCCUCCCCUGGCAGCUGUGCCAGGGCUGCACAGCCCUUUCCAGGAAGAAUUUUUCCCAAUAUCCAAUCCUGAGCCUCCCCUGGCACAGCCUUGAGUCAUUCCCUCUCCUCCAUGUUCCCUUGCUUUCCUGGGAGCAGAGCCCGACCCCCCCGGCUCCCCCCUCCUGUCAGGGGGUUGCAGAGCCAGAAGGUCCCCCCUGAGCCUCCUUUGCUCCAGGAUUUCUCCCUCUCCUUGCUCCAAACUGGACGGCUGAUGCCAUCCCAGCGGGAUUGCUGGGUGGAUCCUCUCUGCUCUGGAGCAAUCCCAGAGCUCUCCCAGCCCUUCCUGCUCCCUGCAGCUUUGUCACACCUGCAGGUGGUGACAGAGGGUGGCACUUGGCUCCCACGAGGGCUCCAGGGAUGGCACUGCAGGAAACCUCCUCCCGAGGAUCGGGAAAGCCCCUGGAGCUCCUGGAGCUGCUCAGGCAGGGCUGUGGGAGCAGAGGGAGGCAGGAGAGGGGCAGGAUGGGGCUGGGGGUCCGUCCUUCCUGAACCAUCAGCGGGUCACACUGACCAGCCAAUCCCAUCUCCCAGGCUGGUUCUCUCUGGAUUCUCAUGGAGUCCAAGGGGGCUGAGGGAAUCCAUGAUCCACAAAGUGCUCUGGAAAGCUCAAACCCUUCCAUGUUCCAGGGCAGCAGGGCAGGGGGGGAUUGUGUCUGAGGUGAGACCCCCCUGCAGAGCUGCUCCAGCCCUGGGAACAACAGCACAAGGACGUGGAGCUGCUGCAGAGAGUCCAGAGGAGGCCCCGGAGCUGCUGCCAGGGCUGGAGCCCCUC